UAAACUAGGAUUAGAUACCCUAUUAUUUAAAAUGUAAUUUUAAAUAUUAAAUUAGUAUUAGUUAUUUUCUUGAAAAUUAAAAAAUUUGGCGGUAUUUUAGUCUUUUCAGAGGAAUCUGUCCUGUAAUUGAUAGUCCACGAAUAUACAUACUUUAUUUUUUAAUUUAUAUAUCGUCGUAGUUGAAUAUUUUAUUAGAAUAAUAAUAUUCGUAAUUUUUAAUUAAAAAAUAAAUCAGAUCAAGGUGUAGUUUAUAGUAAAGAAGAGAUGGAUUACAAUAAGUUUACUUAAGGAUAAUUUUUAUUAUAAAAAUUUGAAUUUGGAUUUGAAAGUAAUAUUAAAUAUAUUUUUAAAAUGAUUAUAGCUCUAAAAUAUGUACACAUCGCCCGUCGCUCUUAA
rnacentral:rRNA from 1 species